GACGAACGCUGGCGGCGUGCCUAACACAUGCAAGUCGAACGGAAAGGCCCUGCUCUUGCGGGGUGCUCGAGUGGCGAACGGGUGAGUAACACGUGAGUAACCUUCCCUUGACUUUGGGAUAACUUCAGGAAACUGGGGCUAAUACCGGAUAGGAGCUCCUGCUGCACGGUGGGCGUUGGAAAGUUUCGGCGGUUGGGGAUAGACUCGCUGGUUAUCAGCUUGUUGGUGGGGUAGUGGCUUACCAAGGCUUUGACGGGUAGCCGGCAUGGGAGGGCGACCGGCCACAAUGGGACUAAGGGAGGGACCAGACUCCAACGGGAGGCAGCAGUGGGGAAUAUUACACAGUGGGCCGGAGCCUGAGGCGACGGCGCCGCGUUCGGGAUGACGGCCUUCGGGUUAUGAACCGCUUUCGCCUGUGACGUGGCGUGAGUGACGGUAAUGGAUAAAGAAGCACCGGCUAACUACGUG
rnacentral:rRNA from 1 species